rfam:Gossypium arboreum cultivar AKA8401 contig_21382_1, whole genome shotgun sequence.
AUGAGCCGCAUGCGGGGAGACCCGCACGUACGGUUUUUAGGGGGAUCUGGUCGAAAGACCGAGAAUUGUAAAGCUAAUUGAUGAUUUUGU